AUUGAACGCUGGCGGCAGGCCUAACACAUGCAAGUCGAGCGAGCGGCGGACGGGUGAGUAAUGUAUGGGGACUGCCCGAUAGAGGGGUAUCACUACUGGAAACGGUGGCUAAUACCGCAUACUAUCGGAUAACCCAUAUGGGAUUGGCUAGUAGGUGGGGUAAAGGCUCACCUAGGCGACGAUCUCUAGCUGGUGUGAGAGUAUGAUCAGCCACACUGGGACUGAGACACGGCCCAGACUCCUACGGAGGAAGAAGGGGGGAAUAUUGGACAAUGGGAGAAAGCCUGAUGCAGCCAUGCCGCGUGUAUGAAGAAGGCCUUAGGGUUGUAAAGUACUUUCAGCGGGGAGGCGUUACCCGCAGAAGAAGCACCGGCUAACUCCGUGCCAGCAGCCGCGGUAAUUC
rnacentral:rRNA from 1 species